rnacentral:rRNA from 1 species
ACGGGGGUUGCGAGCGUUGUCCGGAAUUACUAGGCGUAAAGGGCAGGCAGGCGGAUCCAUAAGUUUUUCGUUUAAGGCGUCAGCUUAACUGGCGUACGGCGGGAGAUACUAUGGGUCUUGAAUGCGGUAGGGGAAGACAGAAUUCCUGGUGUAGCGGUGGAAUGCGCAGAUAUUGGGAGGAAUACCGGAGGCGAAGGCAAUCUACCAGGACGACAUUGACGUUCAGCUCCGAUGGUGAGUGGAUUAAACAG